rfam:Ornithorhynchus anatinus chromosome 1, whole genome shotgun sequence.
GGCAGCAUGGCUCAGUAGAAAGAGCAUGGGCUUGGGAGUCAGAAGUCUUGGGUUCGAAUCCCUGGUCUGCCA